rnacentral:rRNA from 1 species
GACGAACGCUGGCGGCGUGCUUAACACAUGCAAGUCGAACGGAAAGGCCCCUUCGGGGGUACUCGAGUGGCGAACGGGUGAGUAACACGUGGGUGAUCUGCCCUGCACUUUGGGAUAAGCCUGGGAAACUGGGUCUAAUACCGAAUAGGACCACGCGCUUCAUGGUGUGUGGUGGAAAGCUUUUGCGGUGUGGGAUGGGCCCGCGGCCUAUCAGCUUGUUGGUGGGGUAAUGGCCUACCAAGGCGACGACGGGUAGCCGGCCUGAGAGGGUGUCCGGCCACACUGGGACUGAGAUACGGCCCAGACUCCUACGGGAGGCAGCAGUGGGGAAUAUUGCACAAUGGGCGCAAGCCUGAUGCAGCGACGCCGCGUGGGGGAUGACGGCCUCGGUGUAAC